UACGUAGGGGGCAAGCGUUGUCCGGAAUCAUUGGGCGUAAAGAGCGUGUAGGCGGCCAUUUAAGUCUGCUGUGAAAGUCCAGGGCUCAACCCUGGGAUGCCGGUGGAUACUGGAUGGCUUGAGUCCGGAAGAGGAGUGUGGAAUUCCUGGUGUAGCGGUGAAAUGCGCAGAUAUCAGGAGGAACACCGAUGGCGAAGGCAGCACUCUGGGACGUGACUGACGCUGAGACGCGAAAGCGUGGGGAGCAAACAGG
rnacentral:rRNA from 1 species